CGCGGGAAAUCUUACCGGGUCCGGACACACUGAGGAUUGACAGGCAAUAUAUUAGCAUAAAGAUUCGUCUUUAGCGCUAAUUGUUAAAUAUGCUAGUCCUUUCAUGAUUAUGUGAUAGGUGGUGCAUGGCCGUUCUUAGUUCGUGGAGUGAUCUGUCUGCUUAAUUGCGUUUCACUAAGGGCCCAUAAAUUCAAGGUAUGUUAGCAAAUGCUGCUCUAUUGACCCCUAAUAGGCUUAACUGUCUUUAGCGCGUGUCUCUACGAGUUCUUUAAAGCACUGCGCAUGCUGUUGGGUCCUGAAAGCAACGAACGUGACCGCAACGUCUUGUUGCCUCUCUAUAAUACCUUCUUAUUUUUAAUAAGAGUAUUUACCUGAGGCUAUUUUAAAACUAGACGGACCGCUGUUUCUUUCUUAAACCAGAGGAAGGUUGCGGCAAUAACAGGUCUGUGAUGCCCUUAGA
rnacentral:rRNA from 1 species